GGGCCGGUCGUCUAGCUUGGUUUGGAUGCCACCCUUACGAGGUGGUGGUCGUGGGUUCAACUCCCACCCGGCCCA
rnacentral:tRNA from 1 species